rnacentral:rRNA from 1 species
GACGAACGCUGGCGGCGUGCUUAACACAUGCAAGUCGAACGGAAAGGCCCUGCUUUUGUGGGGUGCUCGAGUGGCGAACGGGUGAGUAACACGUGAGUAACCUGCCCUUGACUUUGGGAUAACUUCAGGAAACUGGGGCUAAUACCGGAUAGGAGCUCCUGCUGCAUGGUGGGGGUUGGAGAGUUUCGGCGGUUGGGGAUGGACUCGCGGCUUAUCAGCUUGUUGGUGGGGUAGUGGCUUACCAAGGCCUUGACGGGUAGCCGGCCUGAGAGGGUGACCGGCCACAUUGGGACUGAGAUACGGCCCAGACUCCUACGGGAGGCAGCAGUGGGGAAUAUUGCACAAUGGGCGGAAGCCUGAUGCAGCAACGCCGCGUGCGGGAUGACGGCCUUCGGGUUGUAAACCGCUUUCGCCUGUGACGAAGCGUGAGUGACGGUAAUGGGUAAAGAAGCACCGGCUAACUACGUG